rnacentral:rRNA from 1 species
AGAGUUUGAUCCUGGCUCAGAUUGAACGCUGGCGGCAUGCCUUACACAUGCAAGUCGAACGGUAACAGCACUUCGGUGGCUGACGAGUGGCGAACGGGUGAGUAAUACAUCGGAACGUGCCCGAGAGUGGGGGAUAACGCAGCGAAAGCUGUGCUAAUACCGCAUACGAUCUACGGAUGAAAGCAGGGGACCGCAAGGCCUUGCGCUCAUGGAGCGGCCGAUGGCAGAUUAGGUAGUUGGUGGGAUAAAAGCUUACCAAGCCGACGAUCUGUAGCUGGUCUGAGAGGACGACCAGCCACACUGGGACUGAGACACGGCCCAGACUCCUACGGGAGGCAGCAGUGGGGAAUUUUGGACAAUGGGCGAAAGCCUGAUCCAGCCAUGCCGCGUGCAGGAUGAAGGCCUUCGGGUUAAAACUGCUUUUGUACGGAACGAAAAGGUC